rnacentral:tRNA from 2 species
GCUAACGUAGCUUAAUUAAAGCAU